rnacentral:rRNA from 1 species
UACGGAGGGGGCUAGCGUUGUUCGGAAUUAUUGGGCGUAAAGCGCGCGCAGGCGGUUUCUUAAGUCUGAUGUGAAAGCCCACGGCUCAACCGUGGAGGGUCAUUGGAAACUGGGAAACUUGAGUGCAGAAGAGAAGAGUGGAAUUCCACGUGUAGCGGUGAAAUGCGUAGAGAUGUGGAGGAACACCAGUGGCGAAGGCGACUCUUUGGUCUGUAACUGACGCUGAGGCGCGAAAGCGUGGGGAGCAAACAGG